rnacentral:rRNA from 1 species
UAGGGAAUCUUCGGCAAUGGGGGCAACCCUGACCGAGCAACGCCGCGUGAGUGAAGAAGGUUUUCGGAUCGUAAAGCUCUGUUGUAAGAGAAGAACGUGUGUGAGAGUGGAAAGUUCACACAGUGACGGUAACUUACCAGAAAGGGACGGCUAACUACGUGCCAGCAGCCGCGGUAAUACGUAGGUCCCGAGCGGUGUCCGGAUUUAUUGGGCGUAAAGCGAGCGCAGGCGGUUUAAUAAGUCUGAAGUUAAAGGCAGUGGCUUAACCAUUGUUCGCUUUUGACACUGUUAAUCUUGAGUGCAGAAGGGGAAAGUGGAAUUCCAUGUGUAGCGGUAAAAUGCGUAGAUGUAUGGAGGAACACCGGUGGCGAAAGCGACUCUCUGGUCUGUAACUGACGCUGAGGCUCAAAAGCGUGAGGAGCAGGCAGG